rnacentral:rRNA from 1 species
CGGAUUGGACGCGUACUACACAUGCAAGUCGAGCGGUAGAGAGAAGCUUGCUUCUCUUGAGAGCGGCGGACGGGUGAGUAAUGCCUAGGAAUCUGCCUGGUAGUGGGGGAUAACGUUCGGAAACGGACGCUAAUACCGCAUACGUCCUACGGGAGAAAGCAGGGGACCUUCGGGCCUUGCGCUAUCAGAUGAGCCUAGGUCGGAUUAGCUAGUUGGUGGGGUAAUGGCUCACCAAGGCGACGAUCCGUAACUGGUCUGAGAGGAUGAUCAGUCACACUGGAACUGAAACACGGUCCAGACUCCUACGGGAGGCAGCAGUGGGGAAUAUUGGACAAUGGGCGAAAGCCUGAUCCAGCCAUGCCGCGUGUGUGAAGAAGGUCUUCGGAUUGUAAAGCACUUUAAGUUGGGAGGAAGGGUUGUAGAUUAAUACUCUGCAAUUUUGACGUUACCGACAGAAUAAGCACCGGCUAACUCUGUGCCAACAGCCGCGGUAAUACAGAGGGUGCGAGCGUUAAUCGGGAUUACUGGGCGUAAAACGCGCGUACGUGGUUUGUUAAGUUGGAUGUGAAAUCCCCGGGCUCUACCUGGGAACUGCCUUCACAACUGAGGGACUAAAGUAUGGUGUAGGGUGGUGGAAUUUUCUGUGUAGGGGUGAAAUGCGUAAAUAUAUUAAGGAACACCAGUGGCGAAAGCGAGCACCUGGACUGAUACUCACACUCACGUGCGACAACGUGGGGAGCAAACAAGAGUAGAUAGCCCCGUAGUCCACGCCGUAUACUAUAUCAUACUCAGCGGUUUUGGGGCGGUGAGCGCGAUAAUGGCGCGCUCACACAAUAAAUUUACUUCCUCGGUGAGGAGCAGCCGCGCCGGGGAUGACACCCCUGAAUAUAUAGCCGGCCGGGCGCAAGCAGCAGGAGGAUGGUGGUUUUUGUCCUAAUAACUCCCAAAAACAUAACACCGCCCGGUGUUAUAACCGAGCGAGUGUAGAAAAAAUAGUGCGUUGCUGCAUCACUGAAACAUGGGCACAGGCAGUCAUCUUCGUCGUGCGGGCUAGGAUAGUGGCUAACUACCGACCACUCUCUCCUACCCAGUCAGAUGGUUGCCUGCAACUCAGUACAACGGGACCUGGGAGAGUGAGUAUUCCUUAUUCGGUUAAGCGCUGACUAU